ACGCUGGCGGCGUGCCUAACACAUGCAAGUCGAGCGCGAAGGGGCUUCGGCCCCGGUAGAGCGGCGCACGGGUGAGGAACACGUGAGUAAUCUACCCUUCGGCGGGGGACAACUGCUGGAAACGGCAGCUAAUACCGCGUACAGUCUUGAAAUCGCAGGGUUUCAAGAGCAAAGAGGGCCUCGGCUCUCACCGGAGGAUGAGCUCGCGUCCCAUUAGCUAGUUGGCGGGGUAACGGCCACCAAGGCUCAGAUGGGUAACUGGUCUGAGAGGAUGACCAGUCACAUUGGAACUGAGACACGGUCCAGACUCCUACGGGAGGCAGCAGUGGGGAAUAUUGCGCAAUGGACGAAAGUCUGACGCAGCAACGCCGCGUGGGUGAUGAAGGCCCUUGGGUCGUAAAGCCCUGUCAGGAGGGAAGAAUGAGCAGGUGGUUAAUACCCAUCUGAAGUGACGGUACCUCCAAAGGAAGCACCGGCUAACUCCGUG
rnacentral:rRNA from 1 species